rnacentral:rRNA from 1 species
AUUGAACGCUGGCGGCAGGCCUAACACAUGCAAGUCGAGCGAGCGGCGGACGGGUGAGUAAUGUAUGGGGACUGCCCGAUAGAGGGGGAUAACUACUGGAAACGGUAGCUAAUACCGCAUACUAUCGGAUAACCCAUAUGGGAUUAACUAGUAGGUGAGGUAAUGGCUCACCUAGGCGACGCUCCCUAGCUGGUCUGAGAGGAUGAUCAGCCACGCGGGGACUGAGACACGGCCCAGACUCCUACGGAGGGAGCAUUGAGGAAUAUUGGACAAUGGGCGCAAUCCUGAUGCAGCCAUGCCGCGUGUAUGAAGAAGGCCCUAGGGUUGUAAAGUACUUUCAGUCGGGAGGCGUUACCGACAGAAGAAGCACCGGCUAACUCCGUGCCAGCAGCCGCGGUAAUUC